rnacentral:rRNA from 1 species
UACGGGGGGGGCAAGCGUUGUUCGGAAUUAUUGGGCGUAAAGGGCUCGUAGGCGGCCAACUAAGUCAGACGUGAAAUCCCUCGGCUUAACCGGGGAACUGCGUCUGAUACUGGAUGGCUUGAGUUUGGGAGAGGGAUGCGGAAUUCCAGGUGUAGCGGUGAAAUGCGUAGAUAUCUGGAGGAACACCGGUGGCGAAGGCGGCAUCCUGGACCAACACUGACGCUGAGUGAGCGAAAGCCAGGGGAGCAAACGGG